GAUGAACGCUGGCGGUAUGCCUUACACAUGCAAGUCGAACGGAUCCUUCGGGAUUAGUGGCGGACGGGUGAGUAACGCGUGGGAACAUACCCUUUGGUCCGGAAUAGCCUCGGGAAACUGGGAGUAAUACCGUAUGUGGUCGAGAGACGAAAGAUUUAUCGCGAAAGGAUUGGCCCGCGUUGGAUUAGGUAGUUGGUGGGGUAAUGGCCUACCAAGCCGACGAUCCAUAGCUGGUUUGAGAGGAUGAUCAGCCACACUGGGACUGAGACACGGCCCAGACUCCUACGGGAGGCAGCAGUGGGGAAUCUUAGACAAUGGGGGAAACCCUGAUCUAGCCAUGCCGCGUGAUCGAUGAAGGCCUUAGGGUUGUAAAGAUCUUUCAGGUGGGAAGAUAAUGACUGUACCACCAGAAGAAGCCCCGGCUAACUCCGUGCCAGCCGCCGCAGUAAUAC
rnacentral:rRNA from 1 species